GACGAACGCUGGCGGCGUGCUUAACACAUGCAAGUCGAACGGAAAGGCCCUGCUUUCGUGGGGUGCCCGAGUGGCGAACGGGUGAGUAACACGUGAGUAACCUGCUCUUGAUUUUGGGAUAACUUCAGGAAACUGGGGUUAAUACCGGAUAGGAGCUCCCGUUGCAUGGUGGGGGUUGGAAAUUUUCGGCGGUCGGGGAUGGAUUCGCGGCUUAGCAGCUUGCUGGUGGGGGAGUGGCUCACCAAGGCGAUGACCGGUAGCCGGCCUGAGAGGGUGACCGGCCACAGGGGAAGGGAGACACGGGCAAGAAGACUAAGGGAGGCAGCAGGGGGGAAUAGGGGACAAUGGGCGGAAGCCUGAUACAGCCAUACCGCGUGGGUGAAGAAGGCCGGCGGGGUGGAAAGAACUGUUGGUGGGAAAGAAAAGCAGCAGGCUAAUACCACGCUGGUCUGACGGGAACAAAAGAAUAAGCACCGGCUAACUUCGUG
rnacentral:rRNA from 1 species